GCAGGAGGAGAGGUCAUCCAGAGAAGCCACCGUCCCCGUUGCCGCUAACCAAGAUAACACUGGUGAUGAUGACCCAGCUGCCAGGUUAGAGCAAGAGGAGCUGGAGCAGAGGUUAUCUGGAGAACCCACCGUCCCUGUUGCAGAUAACCCAGAUAACACUGGUGAUGAUGACCCAGCUGCCAGGUUAGAGCAAGAGGAGCUGGAGCAGAGGUUAUCUGGAGAACCCA